UCUCUUGUGGUUUAACGGUAAAUUACACAGGUUGGUGAAGCCUGAGAUGUCGGUUCGACUCCGACCAAGAGAA